AACGAACGCUGGCGGCAGGCUUAACACAUGCAAGUCGAACGCCCCGCAAGGGGAGUGGCAGACGGGUGAGUAACGCGUGGGAAUCUACCGUGCCCUGCGGAAUAGCUCCGGGAAACUGGAAUUAAUACCGCAUACGCCCUACGGGGGAAAGAUUUAUCGGGGUAUGAUGAGCCCGCGUUGGAUUAGCUAGUUGGUGGGGUAAAGGCCUACCAAGGCGACGAUCCAUAGCUGGUCUGAGAGGAUGAUCAGCCGCAUUGGGACUGAGACACGGCCCAAACUCCUACGGGAGGCAGCAGUGGGGAAUAUUGGACAAUGGGCGCAAGCCUGAUCCAGCCAUGCCGCGUGAGGGAUGAAGGCCCUAGGGUUGUAAAGCUCUUUCACCGGUGAAGAUAAUGACGGUAACCGGAGAAGAAGCCCCGGCUAACUUCGUGCCAGCAGCCGCGGUAAAAC
rnacentral:rRNA from 1 species